rnacentral:rRNA from 1 species
GACGAACGCUGGCGGCGUGCUUAACACAUGCAAGUCGAACGGAAAGGCCCUGCUUUUGUGGGGUGCUCGAGUGGCGAACGGGUGAGUAACACGUGAGUAACCUGCCCUUGACUUUGGGAUAACUUCAGGAAACUGGGGCUAAUACCGGAUAGGAGCUCCUGCUGCAUGGUGGGGGUUGGAAAGUUUCGGCGGUUGGGGAUGGACUCGCGGCUUAUCAGCUUGUUGGUGGGGUAGUGGCUUACCAAGGCUUUGACGGGUAGCCGGCCUGAGAGGGUGACCGGCCACAUUGGGACUGAGAUACGGCCCAGACUCCUACGGGAGGCAACAGUGGGGAAUAUUGCACAAUGGGCGGAAGCCUGAUGCAGCAACGCCGCGUGCGGGAUGACGGCCUUCGGGUUGUAAACCGCUUUCGCCUGUGACGAAGCGUGAGUGACGGUAAUGGGUAAAGAAGCACCGGCGAACUACGU